rnacentral:SRP_RNA from 1 species
GCCGGGUGUGGUGGCACGUGCCUGUAGUCCCAGCUACUCGGGAGGCUGAGGUGCCGAGGAUCGCUUGAGCCCAGGAGUUCUGGGCUGUAGUGCGCUAUGCCGAUCGGGUGUUUGCACUAAGUUCGGCAUCAAUAUGGUGACCUCUCUGGAGAGGGGGGACCACCAGGUUGCCUAAGGAGGGGUGAACCGGCCCAGGUCGGAAAUGAAGCAGGUCAAAACUCCUGUGCUGAUCAGUAGUGGGAUCGCGCCUGUGAAUAGCCACUGCACUCCAGCCUGGGCAACAUGGCGAGACCCCAUCUCU